rnacentral:rRNA from 1 species
AGCAGUAGCCGCGGGAAUACGUAGGUGGCAAGCGUUGUCCAGAAUUAUUGGGCGUAAAGCGCGCGCAGGUGGUUUAAUAAGUCUGAUGUGAAAGCCCACGGCUCAACCGUGGAGGGUCAUUGGAAACUGUUAAACUUGAGUGCAGGAGAGAAAAGUGGAAUUCCUAGUGUAGCGGUGAAAUGCGUAGAGAUUAGGAGGAACACCAGUGGCGAAGGCGGCUUUUUGGCCUGUAACUGACACUGAGGCGCGAAAGCGUGGGGAGCAAACAGGAUUAGAUACCCCGGUAGUCCCUGUCUCUUAUAC